UACGUAGGGGGCGAGCGUUGUUCGGAAUUAUUGGGCGUAAAGGGUGCGUAGGCGGUUUGAUAAGUCUGAUGUGAAAUCUAUGGGCUCAACCCAUAGCCUGCAUUAGAAACUGUCGGGCUUGAGUAUGGGAGAGGUGAGUGGAAUUUCCGGUGUAGCGGUGAAAUGCGUAGAUAUCGGAAGGAACACCUGCGGCGAAAGCGGCUCACUGGACCAUUACUGACGCUGAUGCACGAAAGCUAGGGGAGCAAACAGG
rnacentral:rRNA from 1 species